rnacentral:rRNA from 1 species
CUACGUGCCAGCAGCCGCGGUAAUACGUAGGGUGCGAGCGUUAAUCGGAAUUACUGGGCGUAAAGCGGGCGCAGACGGUUACUUAAGCAGGAUGUGAAAUCCCCGGGCUCAACCUGGGAACUGCGUUCUGAACUGGGUAACUAGAGUGUGUCAGAGGGAGGUAGAAUUCCACGUGUAGCAGUGAAAUGCGUAGAGAUGUGGAGGAAUACCGAUGGCGAAGGCAGCCUCCUGGGAUAACACUGACGUUCAUGCCCGAAAGCGUGGGUAGCAAACAGGAUUAGAUACCCUGGUAGUCCACGCCCUAAACGAUGUCGAUUAGCUGUUGGGCAGCUUGACUGCUUAGUAGCGAAGCUAACGCGUGAAAUCGACCGCCUGGGGAGUACGGUCGCAAGAUUAAAACUCAAAGGAAUUGACGGGGACCCGCACAAGCGGUGGAUGAUGUGGAUUAAUUCGAUGCAACGCGAAGAACCUUACCUGGUCUUGACAU